UGAUCUUACAGCACAAGCCAUUGC
rnacentral:piRNA from 1 species